rnacentral:rRNA from 1 species
AUUGAACGCUGGCGGCAGGCUUAACACAUGCAAGUCGAACGAUGACUCUCUAGCUUGCUAGAGAUGAUUAGUGGCGGACGGGUGAGUAACAUUUAGGAAUCUACCUAGUAGUGGGGGAUAGCUCGGGGAAACUCGAAUUAAUACCGCAUACGACCUACGGGUGAAAGGGGGCGCAAGCUCUUGCUAUUAGAUGAGCCUAAAUCAGAUUAGCUAGUUGGUGGGGUAAAGGCCCACCAAGGCGACGAUCUGUAACUGGUCUGAGAGGAUGAUCAGUCACACCGGAACUGAGACACGGUCCGGACUCCUACGGGAGGCAGCAGUGGGGAAUAUUGGACAAUGGGGGCAACCCUGAUCCAGCCAUGCCGCGUGUGUGAAGAAGGCCUUUUGGUUGUAAAGCACUUUAAGCAGGGAGGAGAGGCUAAUGGUUAAUACCCAUUAGAUUAGACGUUACCUGCAGAAUAAGAACCGGCUAACUCUGUG